AAAUUUCUUCUAAAGCUAAAUAUUGGCCAGAGACCGAUAGCGCACAACUAGAGUGAUCGAAAGAUGAAAAGCACUUUGAAAAGAGGGUUAAAUAGCACGUGAAAUUGUUGAAAGGGAAGGAUUUGUGACCANACUUUUUCUGGGCGGAUCAUCCCGGGUUCUCUCCGGUGCACUUUGCCCAGNAAAGGCCAACAUCCAUUUUCGGGGGNGGAUAAAAGCAUUGGGAAUGUGGCUCCCUACGGGGAGUGUUAUAGCCCAUUGUAUAAUAC
rnacentral:rRNA from 1 species